UAGACACCCCCAGGUUUUCCAUUCCUGUCCUCUCUGAGGUCCAGGGCCCCAUCCAGGAGCCCACACGACAUUUAGCCGUUCAGCUCCUUCGCCGCCUCCAGUCUGAGGCUGUUCCUCCGUCUGGCUUUCAUGACCUUGACUCUGACGAGCGCUCACGGGUCACGUGUUUUGCGGAAGGUGCCUGAGUCCACGUUAGUCCGGUGCGCUCUCACGAUCAGACGGGGCUUCAGUGUCUCUGCUCAAAACCCCAGGGAUGACGCCUUGUCACCCUCCCAGCGUCAGGCUGGGAGGCAGACGCUGUUGGGGCCUCUCGCUGCCGGGCUGUUGACCUUGAUCCUUUGGCUAAGGUGUUGUUGGCUCGGGCUCCCCACUGCAGUUACCCUCCCCUCGGCUUUACUGAGCACUGGGGGCUUUCGGGCUCUGCAUCUGCAAAGAUACUUCGAGUCUCCACGGAGAUUUCUGCCUGUUCAUUUCUGCUGCUGUCAGUGGCGGGGUGGGGGGUUGGAUUUUGAAUGCCUCUUGGGUGGUGGCUGGGAUCGUUGCAGGAAGGUUCUAAGGGCUCAGGAGUGUGAGUGGCCCAGGCACCUGCCGUCAGCCUGUCCUCUGUGCUCCGCCUGUCGUGGGCAGGACGGAGUUGGGGGCAGCCGGGGAGGCGGCGCGGUCGUGGUGGGAGCCCAGGACCCCACUGAGCCCCACGCCUGUCUGGCAGCCUGAGCGGCGCAUCCCCGUUCCUGGGCGAGACCAAGCAGGAGACGCUUACCAACAUCUCAGCCGUGAACUACGACUUCGACGAGGAGUACUUCAGCAACACCAGCGAGCUGGCCAAGGACUUCAUUCGCCGGCUGCUCGUCAAAGAUCCCAAGCGGAGAAUGACCAUUGCCCAGAGCCUGGAACAUUCCUGGAUUAAGGCGAUCCGGCGGCGGAACGUUCGUGGUGAGGACAGUGGCCGCAAGCCCGAGCGGCGGCGCCUGAAGACCACGCGUCUGAAGGAGUACACCAUCAAGUCGCACUCCAGCUUGCCGCCCAACAACAGCUACGCCGACUUCGAGCGCUUCUCCAAGGUGCUGGAGGAGGCGGCGGCCGCCGAGGAGGGCCUGCGCGAGCUGCAGCGUAGCCGGCGGCUCUGCCACGAGGACGUGGAGGCGCUGGCCGCCAUCUACGAGGAGAAGGAGGCCUGGUACCGCGAGGAGAGCGACAGCCUGGGCCAGGACCUGCGGAGGCUACGGCAGGAGCUGCUCAAGACCGAGGCACUCAAGCGGCAGGCGCAGGAGGAGGCCAAGGGCGCGCUGCUGGGCACCAGCGGCCUCAAGCGCCGCUUCAGCCGCCUGGAGAACCGCUACGAGGCGCUGGCCAAGCAAGUGGCCUCCGAGAUGCGCUUCGUGCAGGACCUCGUGCGCGCCCUGGAGCAGGAGAAGCUGCAGGGUGUGGAGUGCGGGCUGCGCUAGGCGCACUGGGGUGGGCCAGGCCCUGGGACAGCCGGAGCUUGACCUGCGGUGGGGGCGCUUCCUGUGGACGCUACGCCUCCAAUCACCCCGGUGCCUGUCCUUGCCCCGCGCCGCCAGGCUGGAGGCGGAGUGAGAGGAGCUGGAGCCAGGCCCGUAAGUUCACGGGCAGGGGUGGGCGUGGGACGGGGCUGCUUCUCUACACAGCCUCCACGCUGGCCUUCACCUUCGCUCCUGCAUCGUCGGUGACGCCGGGACCCUCCAGGCAGCGUGGCCUGUGGCGCUGUGAGGGUUGGGACCCAGGAUGGGACCGGCCACUGAGGCCCAGCGGCGGCCCGAAUGCAGCCCUGGUCCAGGCCCAGCGGAGGGUUUGCGGGCAGUUCCGCGGGCGGUUUGCGGGCAGUACCGCGGGCAGUUCGGCGGGGUGCUGCCCGUUGCUGCCACUAGCCCAGGAGGAGGUAGUGGGACGGCGGACAGGCAGUCUCCACGCUGCUGGGUGGCGCCGGGCUUGGUGGGGUCUUCCACUGUGUGCCUUCCUCGCGGAGGCCCGUCCCCCGGGUGUGGGGUCCCCUGCUGCGGACUCCUCCGCGAGCCCCAUCGUUGUGCGUGUGCACGCCUAGGCGAGAGCGGCCCUCUGCAGCCAAGAGAAAUAAAAUACUGGCUUCC
rnacentral:sRNA from 1 species